UACGAAGGGGGCUAGCGUUGCUCGGAAUCACUGGGCGUAAAGCGCACGUAGGCGGGUUCUUAAGUCAGGGGUGAAAUCCUGGAGCUCAACUCCAGAACUGCCUUUGAUACUGGGAAUCUCGAGUCCGGGAGAGGUGAGUGGAACUGCGAGUGUAGCGGUGAAAUGCGUAGAUAUCUGGAGGAACACCGGUGGCGAAGGCGGCAUCCUGGACCGAUACUGACGCUGAGGAGCGAAAGCCAGGGGAGCAAAGCGGGAU
rnacentral:rRNA from 1 species